rnacentral:rRNA from 1 species
GAUGAACGCUGGCGGCGUGCCUAACACAUGCAAGUCGAACGGACGGACGAGAAGCUUGUUUCUCUGAUGGUAGCGGCGGACGGGUGGGUAACAAGUGGAUAACAAACUUCUAUGUCUUGGAGAAUAACGGGAAAAAGGUGCUACUAAUACAUAAUAUUUUGAACCGCUUGGAUCAAAAGUGAAAGACAGUUUUGCUGUCACUUAUAGAUGGAUCCGCGCUGCAUUAGCUAGUUGGUAAGGUAACGGCUUACCAAGGCAACGAUGCAUAGCCGACCUGAGAGGGUGAUCGGCCACACUGGAACUGAGACACGGUCCAGACUCCUACGGGAGGCAGCAGUAGGGAAUAUUCCGCAAUGGGCGAAAGCCUGACGGAGCAACGCCGCGUGAGUGAUGAAGGUCUUCGGAUCGUAAAGCUCUGUUAUUGGGAAAGAACAUAUGUGUAAUUAUCUGUGCAUGUCUUGACGGUACCUAAACAAAAAGCCCCGGCUAACUACGUG